GACGAACGCUGGCGGCGUGCUUAACACAUGCAAGUCGAACGGAAAGGCCCUGCUUUUGUGGGGUGCUCGAGUGGCGAACGGGUGAGUAACACGUGAGUAACCUGCCCUUGACUUUGGGAUAACUUCAGGAAACUGGGGCUAAUACCGGAUAGGAGCUCCUGCUGCAUGGUGGGGGUUGGAAAGUUUCGGCGGUUGGGGAUGGACUCGCGGCUUAUCAGCUUGUUGGUGGGGUAGUGGCUUACCAAGGCUUUGACGGGUAGCCGGCCUGAGAGGGUGACAGGCCACAUUGGGACUGAGAUACGGCCCAGACUCCUACGGGAGGCAGCAGUGGGGAAUAUUGCACAAUGGGCGGAAGCCUGAUGCAGCAACGCCGCGUGCGGGAUGACGGCCUUCGGGUUGUAAACCGCUUUCGCCUGUGACGAAGCGUGAGUGACGGUAAUGGGUAAAGAAGCAACGGCUAACUACGUG
rnacentral:rRNA from 1 species